rnacentral:sRNA from 1 species
UCAUGGAGGAUCGACACUAUCUGGAGU